CAGCAGCCGCGGUAAUACGAGGGGUGCAGGCGUUAUUCGGAUUGAUUGGGUGUAAAGGGUGUGCAGACGGCUUAUUAAGUCACUUGUUAAAUUCUUCGGCCUAACUGAAGGUCUGCAAGUGAUACUGAUGAGCUAGAGGGUGGAAGAGAGAAGUGGAAUUCCCGGAGUAGCGGUAAAAUGCGUAGAUCUCGAGAGGAACACCAAUGGCGAAGGCAGCUUCUUGGUCCAUUCCUGACGUUCAUACACGAAAGCGUGGGGAGCAAACAGGAUUAGAUACCCGAGUAGUCCCUGUCUCUUAUAU
rnacentral:rRNA from 1 species